rnacentral:rRNA from 1 species
UGCAAGUCGAGGGGUAACAUCGCAGUGCUUGCACUUGAUGACGACCGGCGCACGGGUGCGUAACGCGUAUACAAUCUACCUUUUGCUGAGGAAUAGCCCAGAGAAAUUUGGAUUAAUGCCUCAUAGUAUGCAGACUUCGCAUGGAGACUGUAUUAAAGGUUACGGCAAAAGAUGAGUAUGCGUCCUAUUAGUUAGUUGGUAAGGUAACGGCUUACCAAGACAGCGAUAGGUAGGGGCCCUGAGAGGGGGAUCCCCCACACUGGUACUGAGACACGGACCAGACUCCUACGGGAGGCAGCAGUGAGGAAUAUUGGACAAUGGAGGCAACUCUGAUCCAGCCAUGCCGCGUGCAGGAAGACUGCCCUAUGGGUUGUAAACUGCUUUUAUACGGGAAGAAACACCACUACGUGUAGUGGCUUGACGGUACCGUAAGAAUAAGGAUCGGCUAACUCCGUGCCAGCAGCCGCGGUAAUACGGAGGAUCCAAGCGUUAUCCGGAAUCAUUGGGUUUAAAGGGUCCGUAGGUGGAUAAUUAAGUCAGAGGUGAAAGUUUGCAGCUCAACUGUAAAAUUGCCUUUGAUACUGGUUAUCUUGAAUCAUUAUGAAGUAGUUAGAAUAUGUAGUGUAGCGGUGAAAUGCAUAGAUAUUACAUAGAAUACCAAUUGCGAUGGCAGAUUACUAAUAAUGUAUUGACACUGAUGGACGAAAGCGUAGGUAGCGAACGGGAUUAGAUACCCCGGUAGUCUACGCCGUAAACGAUGGAUUCUACCUGUUGGACUUCGGUUCAGUGUCUAAGCGAACGUGAUAAGAUAUCCCACCUGGGGGAGUACGUUCCACAGAAUGAAAACUCAAAGGAAAUUGACGG